CCGGCUGCAAGCAAAAAAAAAAAGCAAGCCCCACGAGGCAAACAGCUCAACCCACCAUUCCCCCGAUCCCCAUCUUCCCUGGAUCCAAUCGCCGCCGGACCUCCGCCUGAAGCGGGACGCCGCCACCGCAUCGCCCGCCAGUCCCCUACCACAUCCGCCGUCGCCCACCACCGCAGGCACUGCCCCAACCACCUCCGCCACUGCCCUCCAUCCCGACCACCCCCGCUACGCGCCCAGCCGAUUCAGCCCAUCGACGGCCUUCCUCCCGUUCCCCACUGCGGCAGUGGCCUCCUUCCGCCCUCAACCGCUGUCUUCGCGACCUGCUCCAGGGCGCCGCCACCGCCGCGACCUGCCCCGAGGCGCUGCCGCCGCAGCGACCUGCCCCAGGGCUCCGCCGCCGCCGUCUACGUGAUGCUGCUUCGACGCCCAGAGUUGCCCCGCCUCAGGCCGACAUCCCCUGCGCGCUGCCACUGAUUGGUGGCAUGGUCGCGCGUCGCCUGCAUCGUCUGCCACGCUCGGCACCUCCUGAGCGUUGGAGUGAAGAGCAUUUUCUUCAGGUCAGUGGAAGCACCCUCACCCUGAUCCAAUCUGCAGCAGCGCCCCGAGUCCUCCCAAAGGAGCCCUGAGCCGUUCAAGUACGCAGCCCCAGGCCGUUCAACGACGGAGCUGCCGACCGUUCGUUAACACUACACCCCGGAUCCUGCUGCCCACCAUCAAGUUCAACUUCUGUUGAAUCCUGUAAAGGGAGACUUAUUGUGUUGAUCCUGGUGCUUGUCGCCAUUCGUGAGGAAAGACAGUCGGUCUUUGAACGGUGUUCAGGCAAUAUGAUGGCGCAGCUACUGCAGCAUCAACGACAACAGCGCGGCGCUCCUGGUGCUCCUCUCUCUCUGCUGCCUUGCAUGCUGCGAUGCCACCGCCUCCGAGUGAGGAAAAAUUCUAGCUCAUGAACGAACCUGAAGAAGCUCUAAUGCGAUGGUGCUAUUCUCUAUAGUUAUUUGUUUCUCGUGAAUGCAUUUGGUUGUGGCUGAUGGAUCUCUAUCUUAAUAUAUUCUUUGCUUUAAUUGUGCCCAUGUAAUGUGGUUGAAGAGGAAAUCUUGAGUUAACUGAAGUCCAACUAUUAUGUUGGACAAGGUUCAUCUACUUCGUGGUUGGCAAAAUUCGACCCUA